rnacentral:rRNA from 1 species
UACGUAGGGUGCGAGCGUUAAUCGGAAUUACUGGGCGUAAAGCGUGCGCAGGCGGUUCGUUGUGUCGGCGGUGAAAGCCCCGGGCUCAACCUGGGAAUGGCCGUUGAAACUGGCGAACUGGAGUGUGGCAGAGGGGGGUGGAAUUCCGCGUGUAGCAGUGAAAUGCGUAGAGAUGCGGAGGAACACCGAUGGCGAAGGCAGCCCCCUGGGCUGACACUGACGCUCAGGCACGAAAGCGUGGGGAUCAAACAGG